GGGCUACACACGUGCUACAAUGGCGCAUACAAAGAGAAGCGACCUCGCGAGAGCAAGCGGACCUCAUAAAGUGCGUCGUAGUCCGGAUUGGAGUCUGCAACUCGACUCCAUGAAGUCGGAAUCGCUAGUAAUCGUGGAUCAGAAUGCCACGGUGAAUACGUUCCCGGGCCUUGUACACACCGCCCGUCACACCAUGGGAGUGGGUUGCAAAAGAAGUAGGUAGCUUAACCUUCGGGAGGGCGCUUACCACUUUGUGAUUCAUGACUGGGGUGAAGUCGUAACAAGGUAACCGUAGGGGAACCUGCGGUUGGAUCACCUCCUUA
rnacentral:rRNA from 1 species